rnacentral:rRNA from 1 species
GUAGGUGGCAAGCGUUGUCCGGAAUUAUUGGGCGUAAAGCGCGCGCAGGUGGGUUCUUUAAGUCUGAUGUGAAAGACCCCCGGGCUCAACCCGGGGAGGGUCAUUGGAAACUGGGGAACUUGAGUGCAGGAGAGGAAAGUGGAAUUCCACGUGUAGCGGUGAAAUGCGUAGAUAUGUGGAGGAACACCAGUGGCGAAGGCGACUUUCUGGCCUGUAACUGACACUGAGGCGCGAAAGCGUGGGGAGCAAACAGGAUUAGAUACCCUGGUAGUCCACGCCGUAAACGAUGAGUGCUAAGUGUUGGGGGGUUUCCGCCCCUCAGUGCUGCAGCUAACGCAUUAAGCACUCCGCCUGGGGAGUACGGUCGCAAGACUG